rnacentral:tRNA from 1 species
GGGUCCUUAGCUCAGUUGGUAGAGCGCCUGCUUUGCAAGCAGGAUGUCGGGAGUUCGAUUCUCCCAGGAUCCACCC